UACGUAGGGUGCGAGCGUUAAUCGGAAUUACUGGGCGUAAAGCGUGCGUAGGCGGUUCGCUGUGUCCGAUGUGAAAGCCCCGGGCUUAACCUGGGAAUGGCAUUGGAAACUGGCGGGCUUGAGUGUGGCAGAGGGGGGUGGAAUUCCGCGUGUAGCAGUGAAAUGCGUAGAGAUGUGGAGGAACACCGAUGGCGAAGGCAGCCCCCUGGGUCAACACUGACGCUCAUGCACGAAAGCGUGGGGAGCAAACAGG
rnacentral:rRNA from 1 species